ensembl:lncRNA
AUAUGGGAAUUGUCUCAUAUGACUAUGAAGGCCAAGAAUCCCACUACCUGCCUUUGCAAGCUAGAGAACCGGAGAAGUGCAACAUGUAAUUCAGGGACUAUUUCUCCUCUGUGAUGACUGUCUACAAUGAGACCCCUCCUUGGAGCCAGCUGACUAUGGCCUAAAACUUCUACAAACUGCAACCAUAAAUGUAUCAAUACACAGAAGAGAGCACUUGGGGAGCUGAGGCAGGAGGAUUGCUGCGUGUUCAAGGUCAGCCUGGGCUACAAAGUAAGGUCAAGACCAACCUAAACUACAUAGAGGGAUCCUGUCUCAAAAACAAGCAAACAAAAAUAUACAUAGAAGAGCACUUUAUGUAUAAUCACCAUUUUAUCAUGCAGAAUAUAAAAAGGCAC